rnacentral:misc_RNA from 1 species
CCUUUCUCACUUGCAACCAUAAUCAUUUACGCAUAUGGAUUCCUAAAAUUUUUCAGGAGGUCAGGGAUUUCAUAGCCAAGCAUGUCAUCAACAGCUUGUAUCAUCUUAGGUUUCAGUUUUUCAAAUUUGUCAAUGCUAUAACCAUUCAACACUUCCUUGAAAUGAUCCACAUUGGGGAAAUCUCCGACUGGUAAAUGAAACUCCCUCUGGACCUUUGCAAAUUCGUCUUCAAGAUUAUCAAUAAGGCGUUGUUGAGUCUUAGC